UUGUUCAAAUAUAACUUGAGCAGCUGAAACCGCUCCUCUUCCCCAGGUAGGGGAAACUCGAUAACUUCAUCAAUUCGGUCAGUAAUAGCAGCAUCAAGAUCACCCGGUCGGUUGGUUGCAAGGACAAGAACAAUGUCCCUUGAUUGGUCACCAGUUCGAAAUAAUAGUGCAUUGAGAGCACUCCGCUGA
rnacentral:rRNA from 1 species